rnacentral:tRNA from 1 species
GCCCAGGUGGUGAAAUUGGUAGACACGCCAGAUUUAGGUUCUGGUGCUGCAAGGUGUGAAGGUUCGAGUCCUUUCCUGGGCA